GUCAGGAUGGCAGAGUGGUCUAAGGCACCAGACUUAAGGCAUAGCUUCUUGCAUUCGGGGUUUCUCUUCUCCAAGUGGACAUGUGGGUUCUAAUCCCACUUCUGAUA
rnacentral:tRNA from 1 species